rnacentral:tRNA from 1 species
UAGAAAAUAAUAUAGGGGAAGUAUGAGGAGUUUUGAUCUCUUUCGUGCAGGUUCGAAUCCUGCUUUUCUAA